rnacentral:lncRNA from 1 species
UUAAGAUGGCUUCGGUCACAGAAGAAAAAAGCCUGAACUACUGCCGUCUUAAGAGACUGACCAGCCAACCUCUUCUUUUCUCGAAUACGAGCUAUAUAUCCUUGUCACCGGCGAGAAAGUAUCCGAUCUAUGGGCCCAUCAGUGUUGCAUCCACGACUCAAGAUCACUGCUUUAAAUAAAAUAAAUGUUAAUUGGUAAUGCAAAAGCAUGGUGAAGGGAAAAAGAUGUGAAGUAUAAUUUUGCAUAUUCUUGACUCAAUUUGUGGUUUGAAGACUAGAC